GGAUGAUUUGCGCUCCAGCCGAUCCGCCAGUAUGUUCCUAAAUUUUAAUUAAAUAGCUUGUGACAAAAUAUUUUUAAUACGAUUUAAUACUAUCGUGGGAGUCAUAAUGACAUUAAUCUGGUUCGGAUUAUUACAUAAAACGGAUUAUUCCACAAAAGAAGACAAACCGGUUUCAUUUUACACGCUAACAUAAAAAGAAAAUAUAAGG
rnacentral:lncRNA from 1 species